rnacentral:rRNA from 1 species
AGAGUUUGAUCAUGGCUCAGGACGAACGCUGGCGGCGCGCCUAACACAUGCAAGUCGAACGGAGCUGAGAGGAGCUUGCUUUUCUUAGCUUAGUGGCGAACGGGUGAGUAACGCGUGAGUAACCUGCCCUGGAGUGGGGGACAACAGUUGGAAACGACUGCUAAUACCGCAUAAGCCCACGGAUCCGCAUGGAUCUGCGGGAAAAGGAUUUAUUCGCUCUAGGAUGGACUCGCGUCCAAUUAGCUAGUUGGUGAGGUAACGGCCCACCAAGGCGACGAUCGGUAGCCGGACUGAGAGGCUGAACGGCCACAUUGGGACUGAGACACGGCCCAGACUCCUACGGGAGGCAGCAGUGGGGGAUAUUGCACAAUGGGGGAAACCCUGAUGCAGCGACGCCGCGUGGAGGAAGAAGGUUUUCGGAUUGUAAACUCCUGUCGUUAGGGACGAUAAUGACGGUACCUAACAAGAAAGCACCGGCUAACUACGUGCCAGCAGCCGCGGUAAAACGUAGGGUGCAAGCGUUGUCCGGAAUUACUGGGUGUAAAGGGAGCGCAGGCGGACCGGCAAGUUGGAAGUGAAAACCAUGGGCUCAACCCAUGAAUUGCUUUCAAAACUGCUGGCCUUGAGUAGUGCAGAGGUAGGUGGAAUUCCCGGUGUAGCGGUGGAAUGCGUAGAUAUCGGGAGGAACACCAGUGGCGAAGGCGACCUACUGGGCACCAACUGACGCUGGGGCUCGAAAGCAUGGGUAGCAAACAGGAUUAGAUACCCUGGUAGUCCAUGCCGUAAACGAUGAUUACUAGGUGUUGGAGGAUUGACCCCUUCAGUGCCGCAGUU